AUCUUGGCACAGUGACAGUGUCUCAGCCAAUGGGGUUUAUUGGAGGCAUGAUUAUUGCUGCUUGAAGACAUUGAUCAACCACAUCCUUCUUCAUGAGAAAGAAAAAGAAAUAUUAGAUACAACAAAAUUAUA
rnacentral:snRNA from 1 species